UGGACAUACCUCUGGUGUACCAGUUGUCGUGCCAACGGCAUAGCUGGGUAGCUAUGUGUGGACGGGAUAAGUGCUGAAAGCAUCUAAGCAUGAAGCCCCCCUCAAGAUGAGAUUUCCCAACUUCGGUUAUAAGAUCCCUCAAAGAUGAUGAGGUUAAUAGGUUCGAGGUGGAAGCAUGGUGACAUGUGGAGCUGACGAAUACUAAUCGAUCGAAGACUUAAUCAA
rnacentral:rRNA from 1 species